rnacentral:misc_RNA from 1 species
UAAUAACAUGCCAGUAUAAUUAAUUAAUCAGGGAAAAUAACAUAAUUUUGAAGUUCAAACUCUAUCUUUCCUCCACAAGACAGCAUGUAGCAUAUGUCUUGCAUUUUUCCCAACUAGGAUAAUAGUGGGUGUUUUCACACACCUCACAUGUGCUCUUUUCAGGAAGCAUCUGACUGCCUUUGGUGACUGCUACGACCUAACAAUUAGCUCUAAGCACCUGAUAACAACACUAAGUUCUACCACGGGUGAGUUGACGAAUUACCUGUUAAUUGUGAGCGGAUGAGAACUCUUUUGUGUUUGCAAAUAUAGUUCUUUUGAGAUUGCCCAUGCAUAAAAUUUUGAAAUAAGAGUUUUAAGGAUCUCUUUGUAAACCUGGGAAAGAGGCAUUGAAUGCCAUUCAUUACGCUAUUUUGUAGACAAUCUGGAGAGAGCAAAAGUUGAGACUUGAGAGCCUUUGAGAGUACAGAAUCCACUCUAAAGGAUUACAAAGUGUUAGCUCCAUACACUUCAAUGUUGAUUGACAAGAAAGUUUAGAUCCAAAACAAUGGAUACUCUCUUUUUUUUCAAAUCUUUCUUAAUGAAACAAUGAAAAAAAGAAAAGGAUUUUCAAAGUUAACCCCUAGAA